rnacentral:lncRNA from 1 species
UAUUUGUACAACAAUAACCUAAUAAAAUAAAAGCGACAUCACAGGCUGGGGAGUUGGCUCAAACUAACAGCCCAAAGAGUUGUGCAAAGUUAGCAGUCAUUUCAUGCAGACAAAAUAGUGUUUGUUCGAACAUCUGAAGAGUUACCACCAUCUUUCCAUCUAUACAGAAGUCGCCAGUAACAAUUGCUGUUCGCUUAUGAAUAUUAUUGUUCGAGCAUCUGAACGUUUUUGAGGUCAAUAUCCACUGCUAUUGGUUUCUUAAUACAACAUCAUGUUUUCAAUAGUAGUGAUGAUGAAUCGGUGUGUACCAGCUACAAUACAAUUCACAGAAAGAGAUGAGUACCAGAGGUGUCAAGAGAAGACAAGGUGUGUAUCACAAGUCACAUAUUAUACAUUAUUUUUGCAGUUACUCUUAUUGUCGAGUAUUGCUAGAAUAUAUUAUUGUAUAGUUUGUGUUACUUUUGUGGUAGAGUAUUGCAAUUAGAGAUUGAUUA